rnacentral:rRNA from 1 species
UACGUAGGCAGCGAGCGUUGUUCGGAGUUACUGGGCGUAAAGGGUGUGUAGGCGGUUGUUUAAGUUUGGUGUGAAAUCUCCCGGCUCAACUGGGAGGGUGCGCCGAAUACUGAAUGACUUCGAGUGCGGGAGAGGAAAGUGGAAUUCCUGGUGUAGCGGCGAAAUGCGUAGAUAUCAGGAGGAACACCGGUGGUGUAGACGGCUUUCUGGACCGUAACUGACGCUGAGACACGAAAGCGUGGGUAGCAAACAGG